CAAUAGCGUAUAUUAAAGUUGUUGCAGUUAAAAAGCUCGUAGUUGGAUUUGUGGCGUACGGUGUGUUCCGGGCACUUGUUGUCUGAGUAACCUGCUGUUGCCAUCCUUGGGUGGAACCUGUGUGGCAUUAGGUUGUCGUGCAGGGGAUGCCCAUCAUUUACUGUGAAAAAAUUAGAGUGUUCAAUGCAGGCUUAUGCCGUUGAAUAUAUUAGCAUGGAAUAAUGAGAUAGGACUUUUUUGCUAUUUUGUUGGUUUGCGCAAGAAGGUAAUGAUUAAUAGGGACAGUUGGGGGUAUUCGUAUUCCAUUGUCAGAGGUGAAAUUCUUGGAUUUUUGGAAGACGAACUACUGCGAAAGCAUUUACCAAGGAUGUUUUCAUUAA
rnacentral:rRNA from 1 species